UACAGAGGUCUCAAGCGUUGUUCGGAUUCAUUGGGCGUAAAGGGUGUGUAGGUGGCGCCGUAAGUCGGGUGUGAAAUUUUAGAGCUUAACUCUGAAACUGCAUUCGAUACUGCGGUGCUUGAGGACUGGAGAGGAGACUGGAAUUUACGGUGUAGCAGUGAAAUGCGUAGAUAUCGUAAGGAAGACCAGUGGCGAAGGCGGGUCUCUGGACAGUUCCUGACACUGAGGCACGAAGGCCAGGGGAGCAAACGGG
rnacentral:rRNA from 1 species